rnacentral:rRNA from 1 species
UACGGAGGGUGCAAGCGUUAAUCGGAAUUACUGGGCGUAAAGCGCACGUAGGCGGUUAGUUAAGUCGGAUGUGAAAGCCCUGGGCUCAACCUGGGAACUGCAUUCGAUACUGGCUAACUAGAAUUUGAGAGAGGCAAGUGGAAUUUCCGGUGUAGCGGUGAAAUGCAUAGAGAUCGGAAGGAACACCAGUGGCGAAGGCGACUUGCUGGCUCAAAAUUGACGCUGAGGUGCGAAAGCGUGGGUAGCAAACAGG